rnacentral:RNase_P_RNA from 1 species
GGAGCAAGUUAAUCUUAUCGUAACGCUUAAGCGUUGAGGAAAGUCCGAACACCGCAGCACAUCACAGCGGAUAACAUCCGUCUAUCGUGAGAUAAGGACAAGUGCAACAGAAAGCAUGUACAGGUUAAGCUGUAGUGAAAUCAGGUAAACUCUGUGAGGUGCAAUACCGCGUAGAAAGACGAAGUAGGCUUGUGCGGCCAAAUGUCUUUGGGUAGGUAGCUUGAGGCUUUUGGUAACAAAAGUCCCAGAUAAAUGAUAAGAUUCCGCUUAGCGGAAACAGAAUUCGGCUUAUUAAUUUGCUCCUCUU